ensembl:lincRNA
AGUUUUAAACACAUAAACUGAAGAUGACAGCUCAGCGACAGUGUUUUAAUGUCACUAAACAACAUUUAAUGCAGUCCGACAACUAAAAUAACCGACACACGCUGAGAUAAAGGACAGGAAUGCAGUGAAAAGCGACUCAUCUAGAAAGAGGGAUGUGUUUGGACCGUACAGUCAACAGAAGCAGAGCUCCGGGACGUUUGGACUACAUUUACUGGCGUGAUGGACGUCUGCUGCGGACAGUGAAAUUCCAGCAGCCGUGGGAUUCAAACCCGGGUCUUCAAAAUACAAAUCGAACGCUCUAACCACUCAACCACAGAGCUGGUCCUCACC